rnacentral:rRNA from 1 species
AGACCCGAAACCCGGUGAUCUAGCCAUGGGCAGGUUGAAGGUUGGGUAACACUAACUGGAGGACCGAACCGACUAAUGUUGAAAAAUUAGCGGAUGACCUGUGGCUGGGGGUGAAAGGCCAAUCAAACCGGGAGAUAGCUGGUUCUCCCCGAAAGCUAUUUAGGUAGCGCCUCGUGAAUUCAUCUCCGGGGGUAGAGCACUGUUUCGGCUAGGGGGCCAUCCCGGCUUACCAACCCGAUGCAAACUGCGAAUACCGGAGAAUGUUAUCACGGGAGACACACGGCGGGUGCUAACGUCCGUCGUGAAGAGGGAAACAACCCAGACCGCCAGCUAAGGUCCCAAAGUCAUGGUUAAGUGGGAAACGAUGUGGGAAGGCCCAGACAGCCAGGAUGUUGGCUUAGAAGCAGCCAUCAUUUAAAGAAAGCGUAAUAGCUCACUGGUCGAGUCGGCCUGCGCGGAAGAUGUAACGGGGCUAAACCAUGCACCGAAGCUGCGGCAGCGAACGUAUCACUUAAAGCGAUUCAGCGGAUGACGAUUGACGGAGCGAAGCGACGUCAAAGCGUAUACAAAGUCGAGUCGGUUUAAGGAUACGUUCGUUGGGUAGGGGAGCGUUCUGUAAGCCUGCGAA